rnacentral:lncRNA from 1 species
AUGAAAAGGCAGAGUGCAGUGCAUGAAUCUUUUCUCUCAGCGGUGCCGUUUGAAGAACUUCUUGAAGUCAGUGGGAGCAUAACUGGGCUACUUGAAAGGAACUACCUUUUGGACAUGCAGGGAUUCUUCUGUGAAGGAGUUAAAUGUUUUGUGUUGGGGACGCAGCCAGUGCUUUCCUUCCCCUGGACACAAAGCAAGCGGAAAAUUUCUCUGUUGAAGUCUGGUAAGUGUCUAGUGUCUGAUGGUCUGGGCACAAAGAGAGUAGGAGGAAAAGGCACCAGCUAGGUUUCGCGAUAAAUGCAGAAUAUUUAGAGCGAGACAAAAAAUGGACCAUUUAGUCUUUUUCCCUACACAAGCUUGCCAUAAAAAGUCUUAUGCUGGAUGUAUCGUACCAUUCAACUCUUAAUAAAUUCCAGGCUGGCAAUUGAGAUUUAACCCUC